UGUAUGUACAAUUGAAGGGCUACACGAGGUAAAGUUUUCAUGAGACCAAAGUGGCGGAAACCGCAGCUUGAAAAGCGCUUAUAGAAAAGUCUCAGGGUCGUAACCGCGAUGGCGUCGCGUCCCCAACAAGGAGAUGGCGAAAAUCGAUUAUGUGAAAGCUGAAGAAAUGAGGACCGCUUUCAGAAGAGCGACGCGUUCUUCCUCCGGUCGCCACCACUGCAUUCGAACCAAGGUGUUGCAUUUUAUGGCUUUAUGUAUUUCAUCUCAGAACUUCAAUCUCCUCGGCAUCUCGUUCACGUCUUGUGUGAUUCGGCCGAUUCAAGCCUCGAGGACGUGGCUUUUGUCAUAGCGGUUUCGGACUCCAGUUUGCGUUUCGGAUUGUGUUCAGUAUCGAAGUUUUCGGUAACGCUCAUGGUUCAUUUUUAACAAGUUGGGUUCACAUCGAGUUUUGAUGCUAAAAGUAAACAACGAUAAAUUAAGCUAGCUUCAAAGUACUUACCGAAUCGGUCUUCCAGCACGGCGACACCCCGGAGUCAAUCCAGGUAGUUCGUUCUUGGAAAUUUCUUCCUCGAUCUCUUCUUCUCCCUUUGUGUGAGUUUUCUUUUCUCUUCUUGUGUGCGAGAUUCGCGAGAAACUGUUGUGAGUUUAAGCGAAUUCUUGAUGCUCUACACUUGAACGUUUGUGAUGUAACAAGGUGAUUGAGGGAGAAAGGAGCUUAUGAUCAAGGGUGAAUGCGAAGGACUGAAGCACAAAUGAGGAACAAUCACAGACACUGAGAGAAUUGAAGCAUCAAUCCCAAAAUGCAGUGAAGACUCCAAUUCUGAUUUUUCUGGUGAAGAUUGAAGAAAAAUUGUAGAUUGAAGAAGGGUGAAGAAGGGUGAAGAAGAUGAAGAUGACUGAAGAAUGAAGAAAAACUGAACAUAAUGUGGAAAGAAAAGGUGACUAAUCAAUUGAAGCUAUAUGGAAUGGCUAUUCGUGGAUUGAAGACGACUUGUUAGUGCAAGUUCUACCGCAAGUCAUAUGUUCUGAUCAAGUACUUGGCAAAUGUUGUGAUUGCUUCCGAGGAUUAAUGCAUGUUGGCCUACUCAACUGAAAUCCUAAUGAUGUUAAAGCCUCUCCACACGGCUACUGAUUGUAAUUGGAAAAGGAUAACAAAAUGGUGGUGACCCUGUAGAGGUCACAGCAGCGACCACGAAACUAUGAUGAUUCGGAGGCGCUUUGAUGAAGAUGCAGGAGCAACAGUAGUUCUAGUGUCUGUUAUGGUGUAUUAACAUUAUUAUAAGCAGGCAUACUGGUAUCUUUCCGAGUAGUACAUCUGACAAAGCAUUUCAUGGUCUUACUGAACAAAAUCCAUGUCCCUUGAUAAGCUAUAUCAUAUACCUCAGUGUCCUGUGAAGAAACUUCUUUUGCUAAAGGUAGAGGUUUAAAAAAUUUAGAAGUUGUUGAUCCGGGACUACCAAUAUCCUCUUCCUUGUUGUGUUCAUGAAUACUACAUAGGUUAGUGGGAAGUGGCAUCAACUCUAUGUUAGGUUCAUCAGAAGAAAAAAGUUUCAAUGAUACUGGCCGAAUAACCUUCCGAGAGACAUACAUUUUUGUACUGUAUGAAAUGUCUAUACAUAUAUAAUUGUAAUGGAGUAGCAAACAAAUUCGACUAUCUUCAGUGGUAAAUGAUUUAAUAAUAAUGCAUUAUUGUGUUAGUAUGAA